UUGGACUUAAUUUCUUUUUUGUUUCGUCCUAUUUAGAAGAAAUAAAUCCUCCUCGUUUUCCAUUUCUAGAUUUAAUGUUAAAUUUUUGUUUCUCGAGCCUCCUGCGUUUCUUGCCUUAUGUCAGAAGGUGGCGUGGGGUCCUUGCGAAAGAAACUAAUCCCACGUUGUACUUUAUAAGGUUCCCUUGAUGCUCAGGGAAGAGGUGGCGGAUAAACUUAACUUGUCUCGGUACCAGCAAUUCACCUACACAACCUGUGGGCCAUGGUGAUUAUAGUAUAUUAGAAGGGUUACAUCCUGACAUGGCUCAUCAGCAUUCCAAAGUUUUAUCGUCCUUAUAAAAUAUAAAUUGCAACGAAAUUGUAUACGAUGAUUUUGUCUUGCAAUGAAACAACUCACAAUGAUAUUACACACAACGUUUUUGUCCCACAAUGAUAAUCAUAAUGUAUACAAAAAUAUUACGUUUUUGUCCGCAACCUUUUUAUCACAAUCAUUUCACCAGACACCGAAUUCCUUCGUUAUGUUUCACAUGUAAAGCAUUUAUUAUCUUAAUAUUAAUCAAUUUUUUAUUCAUAGAAUUAUUACUUGUUUGAAUUAGAAAUAAAAAGUAUAUCAAAAGAAUUAAUAAAUAUAAAUAAUUCUACUCCAUAGCGUAACUUUAGUAUUUUGUUUAUACAUAAUACAAAAUAACCCUUCACGCCCAAACUCUGGCGAACCUAUUGAAGUUUUUUAAAAAGUAUUUUUAAUUUGUUCGAGUAUAGUCAAAAAGAUCAAGAAUUGACUAUAAUUAUCUUUGAUUCUCUUUUCAAUUUCUUGUGGGUCUGAAAGGAAAAUAUAGUAUACUUAGUUAAUAUUUAAUUCUAAUAUUUGUAGUAUUUGUAAAUUAAAGAAGAAAAACAUGUAUAGUCAAUGGACUCUUUUAUAUGAAUACAAAUUUUUUAUCAAUUCUACCUGUGUCCAGAAAGAGGAAGCUGAUCAACACAAAAGUACAGGUGUCUGGUAAUAUGAUUGCUGACAAAAUGAUUGUGAACUGCAGGGCUUCAAGGCAGUUAACACUCAAACGCCGUUGUUUCCCUGGGCCUCAAGGACUCCUUCAAAUACCCAAUAAUCCAUCCCGGUCCUUGGGUUGUGCAGGUGAACUGCUUGGCUCCAAGAGAGGAUAAAUUACAAUUGCCCCCACUUCACUGGCCAUCAAGGACCCAAUCGAAAGUCCCAUAAUACACCCAGUCAGCAGUUCACUUGCACAACCCGUGGGCCGGGUGUAUUAUAGGCCAUAGUCCAGACCAAUCCCCUCAAGCCCAUACAAGAGAUCUUGGGGUUUCAAACAAGACUGUCCAGAGAGCGAUAAAAAAGUGACUUGAAAGAGCCUUGUGAGGGUGAGGAUACCACUUUUGACUCCAACAAUAAAAGAAACCCAUCUUCCCGUUGUAAGACUCUUUUUUGAUACUUUUGCCCACCCCCACCCUACAGUCCUGAUGUCAGCCCCCUCGAAUACACCUUAUGGAUUAUGGGAACGCCUGCAGUGUCUGUCAUCCAAACACAGAGGCUCUCAACGCCACUAUCAGUCAGCACUGGGACGCCAUGGCAGAGGACUACAUCCGCAGUGGAUAUCAGACCUUCCACCACUGCCUAGAAGCCAUCAUUGCCAUAAAGGGUGGCUACAUUAAUUAAGAGAGCUUAGGCACACAUGUAUUUGUAAUUUUAAUUUUGUUGAAAUUAUAUUGUUAAUUCAUGAAAUAUACUUUGUUUAUGUUUAAAAA
rnacentral:lncRNA from 1 species